GGCUGAACCCCCACAGCUGCUCCUGGUGUUCCAGACCCCUCCCCAGCUGUUGCCCUUCUCUGGACACACUCCAGUGCCUCAGUGUCUUUCUUGGACUAAGGAGCCACCCCAGGAUUUGAGGUGGGGCCUCACCAGUGCCCACCACAGGGAGAUGGUCACAGCCUUGGUCCUGCUGGCCACAGUAUGCCUUGUAUAGAUCAGGUGUCAUUGGCCUCCUUGGCCAUUGGCUUGUGUGCAGCCACUGCUGACCAGCACUACCAGGUCCUUCUCCACCUGGCAGCUUUCAGAGCAGGCAGAACUGUUAUUUGGACAGGAGCUGGGAAAAGGGAGGCAGACCUGCAGGUCCCCCCCUUGUAUGGCUCUGCAGAGGAAUCAGUGUGAUGAGCUGCAUGAGGAUAAUAAAGACCACACAUGCAGUCUGAGCAGUCCUGGGAGGAAGUGAGGGUGGACAGCAACUCACUGGCACAGGAAAGCUGCUCCCAUACACAGCACCUCCUGGGCAGCCUCAGCACUCAAACCCAGCCACGUGCCAGGCUCUCCCCAGUCCAAGCAGGACACGGCUGUCUAGUGACACAGCACUCAGAAGAGUGUCAAAUGACCCCAUAUGGACCAAGUUCCCUCUAGCAGCAAGCCCAGAGCACCCCAUUCACUGCAACAGGACAUACUGGGGCACUUUUGAGCAUUUUUUGAAGCUCAGGCAGAUAGGUAUUUUACUACAUCUUUAUUUAUAUUCCUUGUGACUUUUGAAACUCCUUCCUCCUCCCCAAGAUGGGAGACAAACAUACAAAGGCAGGAAGCAAAUUAAUUUCCUUUUGAAGUAGUUGAUUUACUUAGCCAAUAUGGACUGACACAGUAACAAAAUAGAACACAAUAAGCCACUCUAAGGGUGCAGAAUUUCUGGGACAGCAACACACUGGUGUGUAUGGGACUUGAAAUAAAUUUUGCAAACAAUCCAUAAAGUAGUCAGGAAGACUAGACAUUUUUUCUAGGGAAAACUAACAAGUAAGCAUGGGAAAACAACAAAAGCACAAGUUGGUCUUCUUACAGCAGCUUCCACACUGCAAUAAUGUCUGAGACUGAAAGGAAAGAGGCAGAGGUGGCUACUUGCUGCCAACUGGGCUAUGAGCUGAGUCCUAGAUCCUGCUUGAAACAACUUCUCUCUGCUUGUGUGACAGAAUUCUGGGUACAACCAUACUUCUUUGUCCUCCAGCACAAUCCUGAGGCUUUUCCAGAUACUGGGAUCAGCAGGGUUGUGGAAGGGAGCUCAUUUCUUAGAGCCACACCAGGGCUAUGGGAUGAUGAGAAGCUGAGCUUUGGGUGCUGCAGUGCCCGUGAAGCCAUGAAGAUUGGUAAGCCCAGGUGAUGGAAGGCAGGAGGGGAGUAGGCAGUAAAAGGCACCAGGACAUCAUCAUUUUGGCUUCCUCUGGAAGCCAAAAGCAGAACUCAAAGCAUAUCAAAACAGUCUCUCAGCCUGUCCAUCCCAGCACCUGCUGCUCCAAAUAUCUCAAAGCUGGGCUGUACUCUGCCCCUUGGCACCUAGGGGAGUGGACAGAAGAGGGACUCUCCCAGCAGUACUCAGCACCUUGCAGUCUGUCUGGGGGCUUGUAAAUGGGUGUUUUAAAAAUUAGCUUUCAUUGAUUCUUACAGCUGACUUACCCUGGCAUGGCUGUAACGUGGUGUGUCCACGGCCAUGCGGUGUCAGCCCAUUUCACAAGCACACCCCAUGCAGCACUGGAGGGACCAGCACUCUCCAGCCAGCACAUGCUCAUAUCUCUCCCUGCCAUGCACCUGGACCACUCGCUCUAGUGGGCCUGAGUCAGAACCAGUGUGACUUGCCAGUCUCAGCAGCUGACCCUGCCAGAGUUCCCUAUGUGUUUCACUGCUACAGCAUGUUGUCAAGCCAUAGCACCACAAAAAUAUUUAGCUGCAUUACAAAACAUCCCACAUGCUUUCUGCCCACCAAGCAAUUACCCUAUGGCUUCUCAGGUGCCUGUUGAUUUUCCUUCCACUGCUGACAUGGUGCCUGACUAUAAAAGCCAGAAAAAAACUACAUAAACUUGGUCACAACAGCACUAUUAGCCCUGUCCCUGUCCUGAGAAAUGUGCUGAAUCAAAAAAAUACAGAUGAGCAACUUCAGAUGACCAACUCUCACAUCCCUUCUCUGGGCCUGCACCAAAACCUUUCUGCAGGCCAUCAAGCUCCAUAGGCAGCCCUAGCAGUAUGGUCCUAUUUCCUUCACCAAGGUGGGAAGGGAUAUUUUCUGACAGAGUACCCAGAAUUCAGGAAGCCAAGACCCAGAAAUGCCCCUAGCCCUGCAAGUAGUUAAAUGCUGCAGCACAAAGCUCCCCCUCCUCAUCCUCCUUUCCACAACUACCAAUGCUCCAAAAACCUCUACAAACCAAAUCUCUCCUUGUAUGGGCAUGAAAGCUUUCCCUACAGCCUCAGCUGCUAGGAAAUACAGGGCUCUGAGCUGCCCCAAGAGAUUCAGGAGCAUUAGAAAUGACGGACAGGAGAGAACAGACCCAAGCAGUGCUGCAGGUCACUGAGACAGUUUCCUCCAGAGCAGCAUGUGCUUCCAUAGCUGGUGGAACCAUGGCAAAUGCCACAACACAACACAAGCCAAUACAGGAUCACAGCACUGCCAGCAGCUGUACCUCAGAGAAAGCUCACUGGUCUUCUGGAUGAGCACAGCACAGCCACAGCCAGGGCUGGACAAAGUGGUAAAGAUGGACAGAGCAGUGUCCAGGACUGCACAGAGAAGCACCAAGAGGAUCUCAUGGUGGACCUGUGACCAGCAUCUCCAGGGACAUCUCUGCAGUGCUUCCCACAGCCACAGAGGUGCAGGAGACUCAGGAGACGAAGCAGAAGGACUUCACAUGAUAGACCCAUGGGAGGUGUCCCCUACUCUAGUGUGACCCGCAGUUAAGCAGCUCCUCAGAGAAUUUCAAAGACAUUUUGUUGCAUGUGACAUUGUGUUUGAAAGUUGUACUUUCAAGAGACAAAAAAAAAAUCCACUCACAAAAAAUAUCCAGUUUGAGCAAA